UUUUUUUUACCUUUUACAUGUACAAGGAUUAUUUUGCGAUUGCGACCUGUACAAAUUAAUUGAGACAAAAAAGAAAGUGUUAAAGCACAAACAGUGAAGUACCGCCACCGGUCGACAGGGGCAGCACUUAAAAAAGACGGAAGAAUUGUAAACCGGAAGAUAACGUGUCCUCCCAGAGAGCACUCGGCGUCACACAUUUCAGUGUUUGAAGAGAGGAUCAAGAUACAGAUUUAAGACAAAAGUCAUCAAUUACGAUCGUUUAAAUAGCUUGCCCAGAGCACAGCAUCUCGUGCACAGCAUGAAGUUUUCAGCUAUCAAGAUUUCUAGAGGCUCCAGAAUGAAAACCAAGCCCUGCACUGCAAAAAAUGAAAGUCUUGCUUGGUUUUCUUUUGUCUUGUUUUCUAAUAUUAGUAUCUGAAAAUUCUUAAAUUGAGACACUGACUUUGUAAGCAAGUGGCUUAAGAUAUUAAGUUUUGUUUAUUGAAAUAAAUGAUGAAAAUCUGGAGUUUUUUGUUACUUAAAACAAGUAAAAAAAUUGCCUGUGCAGUAAGAAAAAUAAACUUAAUUCCAGUUUUUAACUUAAUCAACUUAAAUUAAGUUUAUUUUUCUUACUGCAUUGGCAGAUAUUUUGACUUGUUUUAAGUAAAAAGAAAAACUCUUGAUUUUUAUCAUUUAUUUCAAUAACAAGACUUAAUAUCUUAAGCCACUUGCUUAACCAGUCAAUGUAUCUCAAUUUGAGAAUUUUUAGAUAUUUAUAUUAGAAAACAAGACAAAAAACUAGGUAAGACAAUCAUUUUUUGCAGUGUGAGGGAGAAGAACCAAGCACCGAGGGAACGUAGUGAACGAGCAGCUUCGGAUGACAGCGACUUACUUUUAAUGUUGCUUGUCAACACUUUGAGGCAGGAUAAAAUGCUCCAGGAAC